rnacentral:rRNA from 1 species
UGCCAGCCGCCGCGGUAAUACGGAGGAUCCAAGCGUUAUCCGGAAUUAUUGGGUUUAAAGGGUCCGCAGGCUGUUUGUUAAGUCAGGGGUGAAAUCCUACCGCUCAACGGUAGAACUGCCUUUGAUACUGGCAAACUUGAGUUAUUGUGAAGUAGUUAGAAUGUGUAGUGUAGCGGUGAAAUGCAUAGAUAUUACACAGAAUACCAAUUGCGAAGGCAGAUUACUAACAAUUAACUGACGCUCAGACACGAAGGCUAGGGUAGCGAAAGGGAUUAGAUA